AAUAGAUACCCUGGUAGUCCAUGCCGUAAACGAUGUCUACUAGCCGUUGGGGCCCUUGAGGCUUUAGUGGCGCAGCUAACGCGAUAAGUAGACCGCCUGGGGAGUACGGUCGCAAGACUAAAACUCAAAUGAAUUGACGGGGGCCCGCACAAGCGGUGGAGCAUGUGGUUUAAUUCGAUGCAACGCGAAGAACCUUACCUGGCCUUGACAUACAGAGAACUUUCCAGAGAUGGAUUGGUGCCUUCGGGAACUCUGAUACAGGUGCUGCAUGGCUGUCGUCAGCUCGUGUCGUGAGAUGUUGGGUUAAGUCUCGCAACGAGCGCAACCCUUUUCCUUAUUUGCCAGCACUUCGGGUGGGAACUUUAAGGAUACUGCCAGUGACAAACUGGAGGAAGCGGGGACGACGUCAAGUCAUCAUGGCCCUUACGGCCAGGGCUACACACGUGCUACAAUGGUCGGUACAAAGGGUUGCUACUGCGCGAGCAGAUGCUAAUCUCAAAAAGCCGAUCGUAGUCCGGAUCGC
rnacentral:rRNA from 1 species